AUAAUAAUUUAAAUUUAAAGUUAAUUUAUUGAGAUUAUUUUAAGUAAAAAUAAUUAUUUAGUUUUAGUAUUAUUUAUAGAAAAAAUAUUUUUAAUUGAACUGUGAAGAUCAAACAAUAAAUAUAAAUAAGUAAAAUUAUAAUUUGUACCUUUUGUAUCAGGGUUAAUUAAUUGUAUAUAAAAAUUUAUUUUUCCCGAAUUAUAGUGAUUUAAAAUUAUUUGUUAAUUAUUGUAAUAUUAAUAUUAAUAAAAUAAUUUUAGUGAUGAAACUUCUCUCGAACUAUAAUAUUUCUGGUUUCUUAAGAAUUAAAUUUAAUUUAAAAUAAAUAUUAUAACUUAUAUUUCAAUAUAAAGUUUUAUAUUUAUUUAAUUAUAUUAAGGAUAAGCUAAAUAUAAUUUCUAUAAUAUUUUAGAUUUUAAUUAAUUAAAUAGGCUUGCAAUUAGCUUUUUUAUAUGAGUAAGUUAAAUUUUAUUUUUUAUUUUAAUACAUUUAAUAUAUUUUAGGUAUAUAUUAAGAAAAUUAAAUUAAUUAAAAUAUUUUUAUUAAAAUGAUUAAAUUAGUAAAUUAUAAUAAGUUGUAUUUAAGAACUAGGCAAAUAUAAUUUUCGCCUGUUUACCAAAAACAUGUCCUUUAGAAAAAUAUUAAAGGUCUAUUCUGCCCAAUGAUAUUUUAAUGGCCGCGGUAAGUUGACCGUGCAAAGGUAGCAUAAUAAUUAGUCUUUUAAUUAAAGGCUUGUAUGAAUGAAUGGAUGAAAAAUUUUCUUUUUUAAUUAAAAUAGAUUGAAUUUAGAGUUUAAGUAAAAAAUCUUAAAUAAAUAAGUGGGACGAGAAGACCCUAUAGAAUUUUAAAUAAAUUUGUUUUACUAGAAUUUAGAAUUAAUAACUGAAAAAAUUACUUUAUUUUUUGUUGGGGUGACAUUAUAAUAAAUAAAACUUUAAAUGAACUUUUCAUAAAUUAAUGCUUAAUUGAUCCAAUUUUUUGAUUAUAAGAUUAAAUUACCUUAGGGAUAACAGCGUUAUUAAUUUGGAGAGUUCAUAUCGAUAAAUUAGAUUGCGACCUCGAUGUUGGAUUAAGAAAAGAGUUUAGAGCAAAAUCUAAAUAUUCUAGGUCUGUUCGACCUUUAAUUUCUUACAUGAUCUGAGUUCAAAUCGGCGUGAGCCAGGUUGGUUUCUAUCUACUAAUAUAUUUUUGAUAUUAGUACGAAAGGACCAUAUCAAAUAAUUUAAUUUAU
rnacentral:rRNA from 2 species